GGGAUGCACGCUUCUAAUCCCAGAGGCACCUCCUGCGUAUGUGUACAUAAAAGGUUUUUACGCUUGGCUAACAACUGUAAAACAACUUUCACUCUGGGCUAGCAGAAGGAGGUCCAUCCAGUGCUUUCUGUAGUUGCACGCUCAGUGUCUGUUCUUUGGGAAGCACAAGAAUAAUAAACCCAUUUCUAA